GAUGAACGCUGGCGGCGUGCCUAAUACAUGCAAGUCGAGCGAACGGACGAGAAGCUUGCUUUUCUGAUGUUAGCGGCGGACGGGUGAGUAACACGUGGAUAACCUACCUAUAAGACUGGGAUAACUUCGGGAAACCGGAGCUAAUACCGGAUAAUAUUUUGAACCGCAUGGUUCAAAAGUGAAAGACGGUCUUGCUGUCACUUAUAGAUGGAUCCGCGCUGCAUUAGCUAGUUGGUAAGGUAACGGCUUACCAAGGCAACGAUGCAUAGCCGACCUGAGAGGGUGAUCGGCCACACUGGAACUGAGACACGGUCCAGACUCCUACGGGAGGCAGCAGUAGGGAAUCUUCCGCAAUGGGCGAAAGCCUGACGGAGCAACGCCGCGUGAGUGAUGAAGGUCUUCGGAUCGUAAAACUCUGUUAUUAGGGAAGAACAUAUGUGUAAGUAACUGUGCACAUCUUGGCGGUACCUAAUCAGAAAGCCACGGCUAGCUACGUG
rnacentral:rRNA from 1 species